UACAGAGGGUGCGAGCGUUAAUCGGAAUUACUGGGCGUAAAGCGUGCGUAGACGGUUAUUUAAGUCGGGUGUGAAAGCCCCGGGCUCAACCUGGGAAUUGCAUUCGAGACUGAAUAGCUAGGGUACGGUAGAGGGAAGCGGAAUUUCCGGUGUAGCGGUGAAAUGCGUAGAUAUCUGAAGGAACAUCAGUGGCGAAAGCGGCUUCCUGGACCAGUACCGACGUUCAGGCACGAAAGCGUGGGGAGCAAACAGG
rnacentral:rRNA from 1 species